rnacentral:rRNA from 1 species
AGCGAACGCUGGCGGCAGGCCUAACACAUGCAAGUCGAACGCGCCCUUCGGGGCGAGUGGCGGACGGGUGAGUAACACGUGGGAACGUGCCCUUUGGUUCGGAAUAACUCAGGGAAACUUGAGCUAAUACCGGAUGGGCCCUACGGGGGAAAGAUUUAUCGCCGAAGGAGCGGCCCGCGUCUGAUUAGCUAGUUGGUGAG